AUUCUAAAUGCCAUCUGCAUGCAGUUCGGCUGGCGGCUUGUUAUUCUAGAAAGCAUUGCCUCACGGCCGACUUGGCGGUGACUCACAGACAACCGACUCGAGGUACACAGAACUCACUCAAGGACUUCUCCGCCGGCCAGAGCCCAACAGGACCCGGACUCUCGCAAAGCACGUGUCUACACCGAUCGGUCCAGAAACAAGGUCCCAAAGAAGCCGAAGGCUCCCGGUCCCCAAGCUCCUCCACACUCUCCAGACCAGCCAGCAGUCGGGAGGGCUUGCCUGCCUGGUCUGUGGCUCUCCCUUGCCCCCAAUUUCGGCCACCCCCGCCAUCUCCUGCUCUCUUUUCCCGCCACCCGGAGCCAUCCCAUCCCUCGGGGCUGGUACCUGACUGAGAAGACGCGGGCGUGACACGAUGCCCCGCAGGUCGAUGUAGACUGGGGAGGAGAGCCCGCUCUUCAGGACGAAGCUCCCGAACUUGAAAGCCUGCACGUCAUACAGCUCGGUGACCAAGGGGCCCAGGGCUUGGCUGGCGACCUCCAUUCUCGCGCGCUCAGUUCGCUCUGGAAGCCGAGGGGCUUGGGGCCCGUGACGUCACCCAGAAGUCCCGCCUCUUCCGCCCCCCUUUCCGGCCCGGGCCGCGGGCUUCAUUGAGUGUUCUAGAUGCUUCCUGGUUCGGGACCUGGGUUUUCAAAACCUGAAAGCUAGACCGAAGCCUGAUUUCCCCCGGAGGGAUCUGUAGGCUUCAUUCAUUUUUUAUUUUGUUUGUUUUGUUUAUAGCUUAGCUCUUCUUUAUCUGAUCCAGUCACUGUUAACAGCCACUUCCCUACUCUCUCAGGGUUUCUUUCCAUAAAAUAAAAAUCUUCUAAGACAGA
ensembl:antisense Gm15829 predicted gene 15829